CUCUCUCAGCCACACAGGAAGCUGAGCCGACUUGGGGCCCAGCAUACACAGGCCCCCAGGACCCCUGGGGAGAGGGCCCCGCUGGGCUGGCCCUGCAGGGACCAUGGAACCCAGAGCUGAAUCCCCCCAUCCUGCGGCAGUUCCCUCCAGACUUCAGGGACCAGGAAGCUAUGCAGAUGGUGCCUAAAUUCUGCUUCCCUUUUGAUGUGGAAAGCCCUUCCCACUCCAGGGAGCCCCCCAGCCCCGCCGUGCAGCAUUUCACCUUCGCCCUCACAGACCUUGCCGGCAACCGCAGAUUUGGUUUCUGCCGCCUGCGGGCGGGUACCCAGAGCUGUCUCUGCAUCCUCAGCCACCUGCCUUGGUUCGAGGUGUUUUACAAGCUAUUGAACACAGUGGGAGACCUCCUAGCCCAGGACCAAGUCACGGAGGCAGAGGAACUUCUUCAAAAUCUGUUUCAGCAGUCCCUGUCUGGGCCCCAGGCCUCAGUGGGGCUUGAGCUGCGGAGUGACGGUCUCCAGCGGGCAGGGUAUCCCACCCCCUACCCGGGGGAAUAGCAAGCCGCUUUCCUGCUUCGUGG
rnacentral:sRNA from 1 species